rnacentral:rRNA from 1 species
GAUGAACGCUGGCGGCGUGCCUUAAGCAUGCAAGUCGAAUGAGAACGGGAUAUAGCUUGCUAUAUUUGUCAGCUAAGUGGCGCACGGGUGAGUAAUGUAUAGAUAACCUGCCCUCUAGAAAGGAAUAACAGUUGGAAGCGACUGCUAAUGCCCUAUAUGCCUUUAAUACAUAAGUAUGCAAGGGAAACGCUUUAGUGCUAGAGGAUGGGUCUGUAUGGUAUCAGCUUGUUGGUGAGGUAAUGGCUCACCAAGGCUAUGACGCCUAACUGGUUUGAGAGGAUGAUCAGUCACACUGGAACUGAGACACGGUCCAGACUCCUACGGGAGGCAGCAGUGGGGAAUAUUGCACAAUGGACGAAAGUCUGAUGCAGCAACGCCGCGUGGAGGAUGACACAUUUCGGUGCGUAAACUCCUUUUAUAUAGGAAGAUAAUGACGGUACUAUAUGAAUAAGCACCGGCUAACUCCGUGCCAGCCGCCGCGGUAA